rnacentral:rRNA from 1 species
GUGCAGCAGGCGCGAAACUUCACACUGUGCGAAAGCACGAUGAGGGAAUCCCAAGUGCUUGCACGUAAGUGUAAGCUGUUCUCUGUUUAAACGCAGAGAGAGUAAGGGCUGGGUAAGACGGGUGCCAGCCGCCGCGGUAAUACCUGCAGCUCAAGUGGUGACCGUUAUUAUUGGGCCUAAAACGUCCGUAGCCGGUUUAAUAAAUGCCUGGGUAAAUCGUGUAGCUUAACUAUACGAAUUCCGGGUAGACUGUUAAACUCGAGACCGGGAGAAGUUAGAGGUACUCCUGGGGUAGAGGUGAAAUUCUGUAAUCCUAGGGGACCACCAGUGGCGAAGGCGUCUAACUAGAACGGGUCUGACGGUGAGGGACGAAGCCCUGGGGCGCAAACGGGAUUAGAUACCCCUGUAGU